GAUGAACGCUGGCGGCGUGCCUAAUACAUGCAAGUCGAGCGAACAGACGAGGAGCUUGCUCCUCUGAUGUUAGCGGCGGACGGGUGAGUAACACGUGGAUAACCUACCUAUAAGACUGGGAUAACUUCGGGAAACCGGAGCUAAUACCGGAUAACAUGAUGAACCGCAUGGUUCAACAGUGAAAGACGGUCUUGCUGUCACUUAUAGAUGGAUCCGCGCCGCAUUAGCUAGUUGGUAAGGUAACGGCUUACCAAGGCAACGAUGCGUAGCCGACCUGAGAGGGUGAUCGGCCACACUGGAACUGAGACACGGUCCAGACUCCUACAGGAGGCAGCAGUAGGGAAUCUUCCGCAAUGGGCGAAAGCCUGACGGAGCAACGCCGCGUGAGUGAAGAAGGUCUUCGGAUCGUAAAACUCUGUUAUUAGGGAAGAACAAAUGUGUAAGUAACUAUGCACGUCUUGACGGUACCUAAUCAGAAAGCCACGGCUAACUACGUG
rnacentral:rRNA from 1 species